UACGAAGGGGGCUAGCGUUGCUCGGAAUUACUGGGCGUAAAGGGCGCGUAGGCGGAUAUCUAAGUUGGGGGUGAAAUCCCGGGGCUCAACCUCGGAAUUGCCUUCAAAACUGGAUAUCUUGAGUUCGGGAGAGGUGAGUGGAACUCCGAGUGUAGAGGUGAAAUUCGUAGAUAUUCGGGAAGAACACCAGUGGCGAAGGCGACUCACUGGCCCGAUACUGACGCUGAGGCGCGAAAGCGUGGGGAGCAAACAGG
rnacentral:rRNA from 1 species